rfam:Jannaschia sp. CCS1, complete genome.
GGGCACCUACGGGGGCCUUUAACAUCCGGUCGCGCGAAACAUGCGGGGCCGUCAAGCAAACGGAAGACAGUGA